ACAUCUCAACUCUCAUGGUUUUCCGUGAUGAGAUUGGACUUUGGGGGUUUUGUUGGCUUGCAUUCAGCUCCCCUGAAAUUAAUCAGCUUCCGGUGUUUGGUGGCAUCACAGGUGUGAUAACUAUCUACGCUUGCGACUGUUCACCAGGUGUCCUCCAGUUGUGGGGGCUCGCUGGGGCUUAUAGAUGUCUCUCCUCAGUGAAGACAGCCAUUUGAA
rnacentral:misc_RNA from 1 species